AGGGUUUGAUCAUGGCUCAGAACGUACGCUGGCGGCACGCCUAACACAUGCAAGUCGAACGAAGUAGCAAUACUUAGUGGCAGACGGGUGAGUAACAUGUGGGUAUCUGCCCUUUGGCCUGGAAUAACACGAGGAAACUUGUGCUAAUACCGGAUAAGUCUUUACGGAGAAAGCUUUAUGCACCAUUGGAUGAGCCCGCACUUGAUUAGUUUGUUGGUGGGGUAAUGGCCUACCAAGACUGUGAUCAAUAGCUGAUUUGAGAGGAUGAUCAGCCACAUUGGGACUGAGACACGGCCCAAACUCCUACGGGAGGCAGCAGUGGGGAAUCUUGCACAAUGGAGGAAACUCUGAUGCAGCGAUGCCGCGUGAGUGAAGAAGGCCCUUGGGUUGUAAAGCUCUUUCGUCGGGGAAGAAAAUGACUGUACCCGAAUAAGAAGGUCCGGCUAACUUCGUGCCAGCAGCCGCGGUAAUACGAAGGGACCUAGCGUAGUUCGGAAUUACUGGGCUUAAAGAGUUCGUAGGUGGUUGAAAAAGUUAGUGGUGAAAUCCCAGAGCUUAACUCUGGAACUGCCAUUAAAACUUUUCAGCUAGAGUAUGAUAGAGGAAAGCAGAAUUUCUAGUGUAGAGGUGAAAUUCGUAGAUAUUAGAAAGAAUACCAAUUGCGAAGGCAGCUUUCUGGAUCAUUACUGACACUGAGGAACGAAAGCAUGGGUAGCGAAGAGGAUUAGAUACCCUCGUAGUCCAUGCCGUAAACGAUGUGUGUUAGACGUUGGAAAUUUAUUUUCAGUGUCGCAGCGAAAGCGAUAAACACACCGCCUGGGGAGUACGACCGCAAGGUUAAAACUCAAAUGAAUUGACGGGGACCCGCACAAGUAGUGGAGCAUGUGGUUUAAUUCGAAGAUACGCGCAGAACCUUACCAACACUUGACAUGUUCGUCGCGACUCUAAGAGAUUAGAGUUUUCGGUUCGGCCGGACGAAACACAGGUGCUGCAUGGCUGUCGUCAGCUCGUGUCGUGAGAUGUUGGGUUAAGUCCCGCAACGAGCGCAACCCUCACUUUUAGUUGCCAUCAUUAAGUUGGGCACUCUGAAAGAACUGCCAGUGAUAAGCUGGAGGAAGGUGGGGAUGACGUCAAGUCCUCAUGGCCCUUACGUGUUGGGCUACACACGUGCUACAAUGGUAUCUACAACAGGAAGCAAGACUGCGAGGUCAAGCAAAUCCUUAAAAGAUACCUCAGUUCGGAUUGCACUCUGCAACUCGAGUGCAUGAAGCUGGAAUUACUAGUAAUCGUGGAUCAGCGUGCCACGGUGAAUGCGUUCCCGGGUCUUGUACACACCGCCCGUCACACCAUGGGAGUUGGUUCUACCUUAAGGCAAGGUUUCAAACCCUUGACC
rnacentral:rRNA from 1 species